rnacentral:misc_RNA from 1 species
GUACUCUCACACUUCCGAUCUUUGGAUUGCGAGUGAUGGACUUGGGUGUUGCUGCUUAACUGUGGCUCACCUCAAAUGGAGUAGUGCAACUCUUGGUUGGACAUAGUACGGCGUGAUAAGUGUCUUCGCCGGCACCUCGUAAUAGAGGGUGGCCGAUCGGGAGCUCUGUGCUUCAAACCGUCUUCGGACAAUGACUGACA